UACGAAGGGUGCAAGCGUUACUCGGAAUUACUGGGCGUAAAGGCGUGACGUAGGCGGUUCGUUAAGUCUGUCGUGAAAGCCCUGGGCUCAACCCUGGGAAUUGCGAGUGGAUACGUGGCGAGCUAGAGUACGGUAGAGGAUGGUGGAAUUCCCGGUGUAGCGGUGAAAUGCGUAGAGAUCGGGAGGAACACCCGUGGCGAAGGCGGCCAUCUGGACCAGUACUGACGCUGAGGCACGAAAGCGUGGGGAGCAAACAGGAUUAGAUACCC
rnacentral:rRNA from 1 species